rnacentral:rRNA from 1 species
GACGAACGCUGGCGGCGUGCUUAACACAUGCAAGUCGAACGAUGACGCCCGAGCUUGCUCGGUCUGAUUAGUGGCGAACGGGUGAGUAACACGUGAGCAACCUGCCCUUCACUCUGGGAUAACCUCGGGAAAUCGGGGCUAAUACCGGAUAUGAGCUCCUGUCGCAUGGCGGGUGUUGGAAAGUUUUUCGGUGAAGGAUGGGCUCGCGGCCUAUUAGUUUGUUGGUGAGGUAGUGGCUCACCAAGGCGAUGACGGGUAGCCGGCCUGAGAGGGCGACCGGCCACACGGGGACGGGGACACGGCCCAGACUCCUACGGGAGGCAGCAGUGGGGAAUAUUGCACAAGGGGCGAAAGCCUGAUGCAGAGACGCCGCGUGAGGGAGGACGGCCUUCGGGUGGUAAACCUCUUUCAGCAGGGAAGAAGCGAAAGUGACGGUACCGGCAGAAGAAGCGCCGGCUAACUACGU